rnacentral:pre_miRNA from 1 species
UACCUACUCCCUCCGUUCGGAAUUACUUGUCUCGGAUAUGGAUGUAUCUAGAACUAAAAUACAUCUAGAUACAUCCAUUUCUGCGACAAGUAAUUCCAAACGGAGGGAGUACUCU